GUCAUUCUUGAUCUCUACAGUGCUUUCAUAUCUGCCUUAAACAUACAGCAAAACCAUCCAGGUAAUAUAUGCAUUAGAGUGUAUAUUACACCAUUUAAAUCAUUGAAGCUAUUUCCAUCCUCGUUUGUCCAUAAUUUAUUUAUUUAUUCAAAACUAUGUUUAUCUAUGAAAUUUUGCAAGUUUUUUUGAAAAACAAAAUCGAAAAUAAGUUGUUCAAAAAACCAUUUUAUCAAAAUUUUCAAAAAAAUAAUAAUAUAUCCCCACUCACAAUACUACAAUAUUUUCAAGUGAAAAUGCAUGUCCAAACAUAAUUUUAAAUUCCAAAUAUCAUUUUUCAACUUAACUCCAAAUACUAUUUUUUUUCAAAAAUUAUAAUUUUGAUGUCCAAUCGCCUACUUAAUCUUCCGGUCAUUUUUAGUUUCUGAGCAGUGAGCAGUGAUUACCAGUGACUUAUGUAGCACUAUGUUUAUGAAUUCAAUUGAACCCAUAAAUUUUAGGAUGAGACAUAAUUAUAGGUAAAAAUUUAUUAAUAAUAAAUAUGAACCCAUAACUUUGAAAAUAUAAUGGGUUUAAUAUUAAAAAUAUUAAAUAUUGAACCUAUAAAAUGUAAAUCCUAAAUCUAUCUCUCAUGAUCACAAAUAGUUCACUUAAUUUAAUAUGACAAAAAACAAUUCCACGACUAAUUUACUAUAUAGUGAAAAAAUAGUGAUCACAUAUAAAGAACCCUGAAUUUUGCAACUUGAUUAUGCACCAUUUACCAAUUCUAUAAUGUAUUUGAUUACUUUUAUUUAUUACUCCCUCCGGUCCAAAAUAAGUGAUUUUUUGGCUUUUUAUUUUAUUCAAAAUAAGUGAUUUUUCCAUGUUUUAUGAGUGCAUUAAUUAUUUUUUUCUAUAUUUUCUUUGGAGUAAAUAGUAUUGGAAUAUGUGUUAGGAGUAUUUAUGUGAGAUAGUAAAGGUUAAUAUGGUCAAUUCCAUUGCUAAAUAAUAUUAAAAGAUGGAUUUUUUAAUCUGUAUGAAAAUAUCCAAAAAAUCACUUAUUUUGGACGGAGGGAGUAAUUUGACCCCUAAUCUCUCUUCCCUUUCUUUCCCCUUCCCAUAUGACAUGUAUAUAAUUCAAUUCUAUAUUAUGUUAGGAAAUUCAAACUUUGAGAAUCCACUGAAACCAUGUUGCGUGGGGACGAGCAGUGAAUAUUCAUGCGGGGACAAGAGGGGAACGACGAAGAAAUAUGUCGUAUGUCGAAAUCCACAGCUUUCAUUUUUCUGGGAUAUUAUUCAUCCGUCUCAGCAAGGCUGGUUUGCUGUUUUUUCUGCUCUAAAGCCUUCUCUACGUUCACUGCUGUAAAUCAUAGGCUAGUCUGAUAGAGGAAGGGCCAAGAAUUAAAAUUUAUAGGUUUUGAACUUGUCACUGAAUUUAUAGCUUCUUUAGUUAUUGAGUUUGUAAUUAAAUAUUUUUAUAUAUUUAACAUUUUUUUAUUGCUAUUGAAUUCGUCUGAACUCAAUAAUAAUAUAUAGCUCUGCCCCGAGGUUAGAUAUUCCUAUUAGGACCGAAAAACUUAGGUAUCAUGCGUAAGCUAGUAAAGCAACACUUGAACGACGAUAAAUCAGACAACAAAAGAGAAUUGUCAAAAGAGACACAAAUUAUUUAACGUGGUUCGGUCAAUUGACCUAUGCCCACAUGAGGAUGAACGAUCCACUAUAUAAAAGAGAGUACUAAAUAUCGAGAGAACAAGCUCACGAAGAGGCAAACACAAGUGACAUACUAAUACUUGUCCCGUAAAGUUUUCCCCCUAGACGCAACUCUCAAACCUCAUAUGGCCACACUGUGGUACUACUGAAUGAGAAAGAAGGUGAUAAGUUGCUGCCAACAACCAAUUCUGGAAGCACACCAUUGUUGAAGCCACCAACCCAUUCUAGAAGCCACCAUUGUUGAAUGGAGAAUUCAACCACCAACCACCUUCUUUAAAGCUAUAAAUAGAGCCUUAUGUUUUACACACAAUACAUCAAUCCAGAGAGAUUGAAAUAUAAUCCAGGAAGAGAUUGUGAGAACAAAAUAGAGUUUGGUGAGAGUUUUUUUGUAGAGAGAAAUUCUUGGUGUAAAUUUUCUGUAAUUCUAUUCUUGUGAAAUAGAGUUAUUUUUCCUCCCAAAUAAUCGUCAUAGUGAUCAGAGAAUCACAACAAGUGGUAUCAGAGCCUUCAAUUAUGUGUUUAUCGAGAAAUAUUGGAACAUGAAAAUUUAAACCCAGAUCUGUGGUUUUUUUGAAAAUGUGAUCUCCGAUGUGUUAUCAUUUCAUUAGAUUCCUUGCAUCGAUACGAAUUUAACGCAAUUUUUCGGAGGCAAAACAAAGCUAAAACAAAGAAGUUGUGACAAUUUAAAAUUUUGCUCUAUUUUUAUUUUUUGUCCAAGAAAGAAGAAGGUGAAUAGUAAUCGCCUAGCCAUCCCCACAUCAUCACCCAGUUAGCAUUUAGUCAGCACCCAGUCAUCAUAAAAUUUCUAAAAUUUAUGAAAUAACCCCUGAAGUUACUGCAAUAUAUAAAUCUGCACCAAAGGUUCAGUAUAUUUUUAAUUUAACCCCAAUAGUUUGUUGAAAAUGUUCUGGAGGCCUUAUUUUGACUUAAGAAGAGUCAAUCCUACCUUUUUUCACCAUUCCGGACGCGUUGGUGAGGUCCGUUUGGUGAUAUUCUACUCCAAUAUUUUGACCAAGCCAUUUUAAAGAUAUAAUGGAAGAGUCAUCAUCAUUUGAGCUAUGAUAAAGCUUACUGCCACAAAUUACAUAUUGUGGAGACCUCGGAUGGAAGAUAUCCUCAGUUAUGAAGAUUUGUUUGAUCCCAUAGAAGCAAAGGGUAAGAACCCCGAUUCCACCAAAGAAGUAGAGUGGAAGAAAUUAAACAGAAAAUCAUCGAUCAAAUUCGACAAUGGAUUGACGAUAGCGUUUUUCAUCAUGUUGCACAAGAGACAGACACGUAUGCCCUCUGGGUGAAGUAAGGAGGGAUGUAUCAAGCCAAGACCUCUAGGGAAAAGGCCUUGUUGAUGAUGCGUUUGGUAAAUUUGAAGUUACAUCACGGAACUUCAGUUGCCGAGCAUACCUGUGAGUUUCAGAGCUUGAUAAAUCAAUUAUCGUCUGUUGACAUGCCGCUCGGGGAUGAAAUGCAAACCCUACUACUUCUUUGUUCUCUUCCUAAUAGCUGGGAGACGCUGGUAGUCUCUCUCAGUAAUUCAGCUCCUAGUGGAAAUCUGACCAUAUUUAUGGUUAAAGAUGCCUUAUUUAAUAAAGAAGUCAGAAGAAAGGACAUCGAUCAUGGUGAGUCGCAUGCCCUUAUUGCCGAAAGAGGGAGACAAUAAGAAAGAAGUCAAGAUAAGAGGAGAGGUAGAAGCAAGAGUAGGGGAAAAUGCACAGAUGGUAAGAAGUCAUCAUAUGCAUGCUACCACUGUGGAAUAAAGGGCCAUUUAAAGAAGAACUGCAGAAAAUUGUAGAAGGAGAAGGAGCAGUUGAAGCAGAAGGAUGGAGAAGCAUUAGUCACUACCCACAGAGAGGUAGCCAUUUGUUCCAUCCAAGAAGAGACACACCUUCACAUCUCAAGUCAAGAAGAUAACAAAUGGGUGGUAGAUAGCAUUAGUCACUACUCACGGAGAUGUAGCCAUUUGUUCCAUCCAAGAAGAUACAUGCCUUCACAUCUCAAGUCAAGAAGACAAUGAAUGGGUGGUACAUAUUGCAGCAUCAUACCACGCCACUUCCCAAAAAGAUUUCUUCACAACAUACAAAGUAGGAGACUUUUGAGUAGUGAAGAUGGGGAAUACUUCUUCUGUGAGAUAGUUGGAAUUGGUGAUAUAAAAAUACAAACAAAUAUCGGGAGUACAAUGAUUUGAAGGAUAUCUGUCAUGUGCCAGAUCUUCAUCUAAACCUAAUAUCGGUAUAGCUUUUGACAAAUAGGGCUAUGAAAGUUAUUUCAGAAAAGGCACAUGGAAAUUGCUGAAAUGGGUUAUGAUUCUCGCUCAAGGAUAUAUUUUUUGCAACUUAUAUAAAAAUCAUGUGAAGGUAUAUUCAAACAGCCUCAAUGUUAUAGAAAAAGAGGCGUCUCAAAACUUGUGGCACCAGAAACUCGGUCACAUAAGUGAAAAGGGGAUAUCAAUUCUAACAAAAAAGCAGCUUAUCAGAAUGGACAAGAAUGUUGUUUUAGAACCUUGUAAUCAUUGCUUAUUCAUGAAACAACAUAGAGUCUCUUUUACAUUUUCUUCAACCAAAAAAUCAGAGUUACUCAGUCUGGUACACUCUGAUAUUUGUGGUCCCAUGGAGGAGAAAUCACUUGGUGGUAAUAGGUAUUUUCUGAUUUUAAUUGAUGAUGCUUCUUGAAAAGUAUGGGUGUACUUCUUAAAGACAAAGGACCAGGCUUUUGAUUAUUUCAAGAUAUUUCAUACCAUGGUAGAGCGUGAAACGGGAAAGAAAUUAAAAUGCCUUUGCUAGAUAACGGAGGCGAGUAUACUUCCAAGGAGUUCGAUUCCUAUUGCAAGAGACAAGGAAUUCGACAUGAGAAGACAGUCCCACGCACCCUACAACACAAUAGAGUAGCCGAGAGAAUGAACCGAACAAUUAUUGAAAAAGUCAGAAGUAUGAUCAGUAUGGAAAAGCUGCCUAAGCCAUUAUGGGGAGAAGCUGUUCGUGCCGCCUGCUACCUAAUCAACCGGUCACCAUCAAUCCCGUUGAAUUUUGAGGUUCCAGAGAAAAUAUGGUCUGGUAAGACUCCCUCUAAUUCUCACUUAUGGGUAUUCGGUUGUUUAGCACAUGCACAUGUAUCCAAGGAGCUCAGGAAGAAGCUUGAUGGUAGAACUAUUCCAUGUAUCUUCAUAGGCUAUGGAGAUGAAGAAUUUGGGUAUAGAUUAUGGGAUCCAAUAUAGAAGGCAGUGAUCAAAAGUAGGGACGUUGUAUUUCACGAAAACCAUACAAUUGAAGACAUUGAUAAGCCCGCAAUGUCUCAUGAAAGAAGUUCUAGUGCCCAAAAAGUUGGUCCAGAUCCACUACCAUUGCAGUUUACCACAAAUAACAUGGGGGAGCCUGAAGCAGUACCAGAAGCAGAAUAGGAGGAUGUUUGGUAAGGGGAGGCACAAACCCCUCAGGAAACUAUAGAAAAACAACACUUAUGAGAUUAUAAAACUUCCACAAGGAAGAAGGUACCGAGGAGUAAAUGGGUAUUCAAGCUCAAGAAAGAUGGCAGCGGAAAGGUAGUGAAGUACAAAGCACGGUUAAUAGUCAAAGGAUUCCUACAGAAAAAGGGAAUUGACUUUGAUGAAAUAUAUUCACCGGCUGUAAAUUGGCUUCAACCCGUAUCAUCCUUGGAUUGGUAGCUAGUUUGAAUUUGGAGCUUGAACAAAUGGAUGUCAAGACAGCAUUUCUUCAUGGUGAUCUAAAUGAAGAAAUCUAUAUGGAUCAGCCAAAAGGUUUUGAGGUUUCAGGAAAAGAAAACCCCCUCCAUAAUCUUACAAAAAGUUUAUAUGGCCUAAAGCAAGCACCGAGGCAAUUGUACAAAAAGUUUGACUCAUUUAUGAUAAGUCAAGGAUAUAAAAGGACUGCUGCAGAUCAGUGUGUUUACAUUUAGAGAUUUUCGGAUGGGAAUUUUUUUGUACUUCUACUUUAUGUAGACGACAUGUUGAUCGUCGGACAAGUUGCGAUAAAAAUUAGACAGUUGAAGAAAAAACUCUCUAAGUCCUUUGAAAUGAAAGACUUAGGUCCAACUCAGCAUAUUUUGGGAUUGCAGAUAACUCGAGAUAGGAGAAACAAAAAGUUAUGGCCAUCUCAAGAAAAUUAUAUUGAAGGGGUGAUCAAACGGUUCAAUAUGAGUAAUGUCAAACCGGUAGGUACCCCUUUGGCAAAUCACCACAGGUUGAGCAAGAGUUUGUUCCCAUUUUCCAAGAAAGAGAUUGAGGAGAUGUCUACAAUUCCAUAUUCUUCAGUAACUGGAAGUCUGAUGUAUGCCAUGGUUUGCACGAGACCAGAUAUCGCACAUGCGGUAGGUGUGGUAAGUCAUUUUCUUUCUAACCCUGUAAAGAAACAUUAGGAGGAAGUUAUGUGGAUUCUCAGGUAUCUUAAAGGUAGUUCAAAAUCAAGUAUGUGCUUUGGGGAAGCUGAUCCAAUCUUGGAAGGCUAUACAGAUUCAGAUAUAGCCGGAGAUCCUGAUGGAAGAAAAUCAACCGCAGGAUAUGUUUAUACUUUUGCAGGGGGAGUUGUGUCAUGGCAAUCAAGAUUACAGAAGUGUGCUGCAAGUGUUGUAGCAGAAGCUGGAAAAGAGAUAUUGUGGUUAAAGCGGUUUCUCCAAGAACUAGGGAUGAAUCAAAUAGAAUAUAAGAUGCAUUGUGAUAGUCAAAUCGCAGUUUAUUUAAGAAAAAACUCAAUGUAUCAUUCUCGGACAAAGCAUAUCAACAUUCACUAUCACUGGAUACGUGAGGUGAUGGAUCAACAACUGUUGAAACUAGUGAAGAUCCAUACGAAGGAGAAUCCAGGAGACAUGUUAACAAGGGUAGUCACUCAAGAAAAGUUAGAGCUGUUCAUAGACAUAGUUGGAAUAACUUUCAGAUAGUAGGUGUGUUGGAAUGCAGCUGAAGGGGGAGAAUUGAUAAGUUUAGCUGCUGGCAACAACCAAUUCUAGAAGCCCACCAUUGUUGAAGCCACCAACCCAUUCUAAAAGCUAUCAUUGUUGAAGCCUCCAUUGUUUAAUGGAGAAUUCAACCACCAACCACCUUCUUUAAGGAUAUAAAUAGAGCCUUAUGUUUUACACACAAUACAACAAUUCAGAGAGAUUGAAAUACAAUCCGGGAAGAGAUUGUGAGAACAAAAGAGAGUUUGGUGAGGUUUUUUUUGUAGAGAGAAAUUCUUGGUGUAAAUUCUCUAUAAUUCUACUCUUGUGAAAUAGAGUUGUUUUUCCUCCCAAACAAUUGUCAUAGUGAUUAGAGAAUCACAAUAAAAGGAUCCUCAAUUUAUAGAAGUCCAAAUAUUUUCCAACAAGAAAAAGGACUAACCAAAUAUAGAAGAAUUAUAAUUUCCUUCUACAAAAAGGAAAACAAAACUAUGAAAAAUAUAUUAUCAUUUCCUUCAAAUAAUAAGAAAAUGAAAUAUUGUAAGAAAAUAAGAAAAACCUCGAACAACACCUUUGUUUCUACCUUUUCCUUUUUACUUUCUAUUUUCUUGGAUAAUAAAUUUGAUUGUAUGUUAAGUGUUGGUCAGUACGUUUGUGUGAAAAAGAAAGAAGAAUCGUCGAGUUAUUAGUUAAAGUAUCCUUGAUGAAACUCUAUAAUUUUCCCUUAAUCACUUAAACAAUCAUAAGUUCAUUUUAUUAAUCUAUAUAAAUAUAUAAAGCUGGCCAUAAUUGAGGUGAUUUGGCACCUCUCUAUGACCAGCAUUCCUAUUUUUCUUUUAUCUCAUUGUUUAGACAUUUUCCCUCUCAUCUGGUCCAAAAUUCUCUUUUUGUUGUUAACAGAAAUUAUGUAAAGACCCAAUCCGUCAUCUCAUGAACUACCGCUCUGUUUUCCUCAUUUUAUGAUUCUUCAUGUUUCAUUAUCGUGUAAGAAUUUAUUUAGAUUGAUUUUGGUGGAAAAUGAGACACUUAGUCUCUUUAAGGAAGGCUUAUUUGGAAACGUCAACCGGAAGUUGACAUAUGAGUUAGAAGGUUUGGAUGUGAUUUUUGGUAAUUUGGUUAGCUUCGGGAUGUGAUUUGUGACUUAGGAGUGCGAUCAGAAUUGAUUUUGGAGACUCGGUGUAGAAUUAGGCUUGAAUUGGCGAAGUUAGUAUUUUGGCAAAUUACGGUUGAUGGGUGAGAAUUCGAUCUGAGGGACGGAAUGGAAUUCCGAGAGUUUCUAUAGUUUCUUUAGGUGAAUUUGGAUAUGUGUGCAAAAUUUCAGGUCAUUCAGACAUCGUUUGGUCGGGUUUUGAUCGAAAAUGCAUUUUGGAAGUUCUUGAAGAACUUAGGCUUUGACUUGAUGAAAUUUGAGGAUUUUGAUGUUAACGAUAGUGCUUUGAUGGUUCGAGCAAGUUUGGAUAAUGUAAUAGAACAUAUCUGUGCUUUUGGUAGAGGUCUCAGGGGACUCGGGGUGAGAUCGGGCGUUUAAAAUGAGAGUUUUGAAGUUUGAUUCAUGUUUGUAUUGCUGUCAUCUCGUAUUAAAUCAGCUUCGAAGAAUGGCCGAGAUCGUCUUCCUAAAUAGAAGAGUCUUCGUUUGAAAAAAUAUAGUUUUCAAUUGGCUUGGCUUCCUUAGAUAAUCAUAUCAAGUUUCAAGACGGUCAAGUCAAUCGUUUCAAAGGAAUAAAUAAAGGCUGAAAUCAAGAUGAAUGUCGACCCGGUAUUUCCGCUUCUGCGGAAAUGGACCGUAGAAGCGGUUCCGCAAAAGUGGGUAAAGGAGCACAGAAGCAGGUCUUGGCCUGGGAGGAGUUUCCGCAAAAGCGGAACAUUGUCUGCAAAUGCGAGUCCGCAUGAGCGGGCUUUCAAACGCAGAAGCGAUAAUAGGUAACCCGCACAAACAGAUUUUUGGAAGCAAAAGCGGGACUUUGUAAACUUUAAUGAAAACCGCAUAAGUAGAGUUUUGGCCACAGAAGCGGUCCCGGAUAAUCAAAUACGGAACCCCAGAAGCGAAAAUCGCUGUUGGCAGAAAGGUUUUAUAUCAUUAUUUCAUCAGCGGGCUUAUGUCAUUUUUCCUCCAUUGUUGAGCGAUUUUGGAGCUUUGGGCGAGAAUAUUUGAGGGUUUCAACUGAGAAUAGAAUGGAGGUAAGUUCCUUGGAUUAAUUAUAAGUUUAUGUUAGAAUUAACAUGUAAAUUGGUGAAAUUUCAUCAAAAUUGGGUGAGUUAGGGCUUGAGGAAAUAUAAGAAAAAAUGGAAUUUGGAGGGACAAAUGGACACCGAUUUUGGUAAAUUUGAUAUGUAUAGACUUGUGGCGAGACGAGGAAUCCAGUGAUGCAAAUUUUUUUAUUUUUUGAGAAGUGGGCCUGGGGCUCGGGUUUUGCUAGUUUCGAGAUUUUUGCUAUUUCUCGAUUGUUUUCGAUUGGGUAUUAUUCGCUUUGCUUAUUGUGAUGUAUUCGCUCUGAUUUUGGUUAGAUUCGACGUGUGUGGAGGUCGGUUGAGAGGCAAAGGCGUCGCGGGCUUGAUAUUUCGCCGGUCCGAGGUGAGUAAUACUUGUAAAUGGUAUCCAAAGGGUUUGAAACCCUGGAUUUGCACAUCAUACUACUAUAUUGAGGUGACUUGCACGCCAUAUAUGGGCGUGGGGUAGAGCACCAUUGGGGAUUGAGACUCGGGUCUGUCCCGGUUGAUGUAAAUACUAUGUAUUUGACUAAAAUUACUUGAUAUUAUCAUGAUUUGGGCUGAUUGCCAUGUUUUGGGAUUCGUGACGAUUAUUUGAAUCCUUAAGGGAUUGAUAUCACUAUUUUUUCCAUUACUCUGCAUAUUAUUUGAUCUCGGUCCAAAGUUUUAAAUAUUGUUUGCAAACUCAGCCAUCUUUCUAAUAUUUGAAAAUAAAAAUGAUAUUUUGCUGACGUUUUGAGCUGAGGACUGUUAUUUUAAUAUUGUCCAAGUAGCUUAUGUGUAUUUUUGGACUGUGCAUGGAUCGGGCUGCACACCGCAAUAGUGUUAUAGUGAUUUCUGGACUGUGCAUAGAUCGGGCUACACGCCGCAGCGGUGUGAUAUUGAUAUUGCGCUUGGGCUGUAGGAGCCCCUCCUGAGUCUGAACCCCAACAGUGUGCACAAACCCAAAUGGAUCGGGCUGCACGCCGCAGCGGUCAUGUGCAUCGCAUUGCAUUCACGCAUUGGUUCUUGUUUGUACUAUGUGGCAUGACAUUCAGCAUUCUCAUAUCAUUGGCAUCCAUGCUAUUUCUUGCACUGUUACCAGAUCCCUGGUGUUAUUUAUUAAUGGAGUGUUGUGACCAAGGGGUUGUCUUAUAUGCGGACUUAUACUAACUGAUUAUGUGUUCACUUGCUUGACUGUUGGAAAAAGGAUAUAAAAGAGGUUUUUAACUGAGCCAGAUAUUUUCUAAAGGAUUUUUCCCGGACUUAUUGUUUUCUAAAAGGGUUGUGCUGUCUCAUAUUGCAUGAUGGAGUUCUCUUACGUGUUUUCUUGCCACUCAGUUAUUGUUUACUCUUGUUACUCACUAAGUUAGAAUACUCACUUUACUCCAUGCACCUUGCGUGCAGUAGGUAUUGUUCACCCGGAACUGGAUUAUUAGCGGAUUGAAGGUAUUACUAUUGUAGCUGAGCAAGGUGACCGCCAUUGUUCGCGGCACCAGACUUCAUCUUUUGAGCUCCAUUUUUUAUUUUGUAUAUAUUAUUGGCCCUGUAGUGGUGUUCAGUCUUCCUUAUAUGCUCGUGACUUGUGACACCCCGGUCGGGUUAUGUUGGGUUGUGAUUAAUAAUUUUUAAUGCCAUCAAGUCGUACUUUCUAUUCAUUUAUAUUUAAAAAUGGUUAAAGAGAGGAUUUGGGUUAGUUGGUUGGCCUUGUCUUCACGAGAGGCGCCAUCACGACCGGGUAUGGAAAUUGGAUCGUGACAAAAAACUGUCACGCCCAAGUAUAGAGCCCAAAUAUCUGACGCUAUACACAAAACUUUAUGUAUAGCGUCCAUUAUUUGGGAGGUAUGGAAAUUGGGUCGUGAUAAGUUAGUAUCAUAGCCUAGGCGACUAGGUCUCGCGAGUCAUGAGCAGGUUAGUAUAGUCUCGCGGAUUCGUAUGGAGAUGUCUGUAUUUAUCCUCGAGAGGCUGUAGAACCUUUAGGAAAAAACUUCACUUUCUUGAAAUUCUUAUCGUGCGUACUUGAUUCAGCUUGGAAUAUAACUCUUGAAAUUCCUUUCUCACGUCUGUAUGCGCGCAUGAGCGCUCAAUAUUAUAUUUGCCUUGAUGGCUUGCGAUUCCCUGCUUGAGGGGCGAGAUGUGAUUUCUAUGAGUUGAUGUUGGGCCGAUUUGGAGGACUUGAGGCUGAAUCUUUGCCUAUAGCUUGAGCACCGAGGUGUUAGUUUUACGAGUUGGUGUUGUGUGAUAUGUCUAUAUGACUUGGAAAUGUCGAAGAAGGUCUGCUAGGUAAUAGAUGAAUCAUUAAGUGUUUGAUUUCCACUGUGAUUGGAUGUGUCGCCCCGAGUUAUGGGUGUGUAAAGAAUCUUUUCAGAUCUCCUAGUUGGGAGUGAAGUAAAUAGCAUAUUCCGGUAAGAGUUCCAACUCAGGAAGACUAAAUUGACUGUGUAGCGUAUAUGAUGGUGGAAGGUAUGUCGAAGUGCUAAAUAUAGGCAAAGCAGGUGGGUUAUCUCCUGCGGGUUGUUAUUAGGUGGUAUGAUCCUUAUACAUGUGUUAGAAGGUCUCAUGUGUUAUUGAAGGGUACAUGUUGAAAUUGAGAAUCCAGGGUCACUUAAGAGUGUAGACUCAACUGAUGUGGGGACGAAUGCGAGAUUUGUAGAGGAUUACAGUACUAAGAUGAUAUAUGUUUUCAUAAACUAGUAAAUGAUUUGAGUUUAAUCUCACUAUAGCAUGGUGGUAUCAUUAGAGUAAAGGUAUUAACAUUUGUCGAUAUGCUAUAGCCUGUUUACUAAGAUCAUCAUAGAUUAUUAAUGCAUGCAUUCCAUUAUCGCAAAAAUAUUCCCCCUUGGCACACCCAGAAUAUGGGGCCAAAAAUUGUAAAGGAGUAGGAUCCGAAGCGGUGGCUGCUACAAGAAUAGAAUAUUCCAAAGCAUUCGCUUCUGAAAGAAUUUGAACUAAUUGUGCCACAGUUGAGCGUUUCUGUCCAAUCGCNNNNNNNNNNNNNNNNNNNNNNNNNNNNNNNNNNNNNNNNNNNNNNNNNNNNNNNNNNNNNNNNNNNNNNNNNNNNNNNNNNNNNNNNNNNNNNNNNNNNNNNNNNNNNNNNNNUAGAAUAUUCCAAAGCAGUCGCUUCUGAAAGAAUUUGAACUUGUUGACUGUGUCCUGAUAUAUGGCUUAGAUCCAAGUUGGGGAGGUUGUUGUUGAGUAGCUGAUUACACGGAUAUGUGUUAUGUGAUUCCGUUUCGAGGUAUGCUAGAGGAUCAGUUCUGGUUGCGGAAAUUGAGCCAAGGAUGUCACAAGUCGGACAAAGGUUAUAUGGUGCUUCAUAGAUGUGUGGAAAUAAUAGGAUGUCUUGAGUUAUUGAUGAUAAAGAAUGCUAAGUGUAUAGAGAAGGAAGAUGUUUGUUUGUAUUGGAGUGUGAUCAUAUCAUGCGGUGUCAGAAAUCUAAUAAGGCAUGAGUGGUUCUGUUCAUUGAGUCAGGUAAUUUGUAGUUGAAUAAGAUUGAAUGACUUUCGAGAAUGAUUCUAAUGUGUUCCAGAUUUUACAUGUAACUAUCAGGUGUUUUAAGGCUGUGUAUGUGGUUAGAGACUCUGUUUUCAUUGUAAAAAUGUCAAGACUUGUGGUAUUUUUAUGUUAAUUAUGGGACUAUAUGCAUCAGUAUCAGGAAAAGUAGUUGGAUUCAUAGGAAGUUCUUCCUAGUAGAUUAUUUCGGGACUGUGGUGUUCCUGGGAAUAUUUGAGAGAGUAUUCAGUGGCUUGUGGGACUUAGACAGUGUGGUCUUGUGCUUGGGUCUCGUGUAGUGAGCCUGGAUUGAGGAACUCUAGUGCUUCAGCAAGAGGGAAUAUCAAGUUUAAAAUGAAUCAGAAGGAAACCUGCAUAAAUGAAGUAGCUUGUAGUGGACCGAAUAGGUAUGGUAAGGAUGUGAUUAAUUCUUUGUGUGUGUUUGAGGCAAUGGGUUCGUACAGGUAUUUUGCAGCAAAGCUCUUGAGUUCUAACAGCUUGAUUAGCUUGGUCUAGUUAGAAGGAUUCAGUCCUGAUAGUUUAGCCUGUGCAAAUGAAAUGGGAGAGAAUUCUUGUUAGGUUUCAUCGUGGUUUGGAAAUGUAUAUUUUCUAUGAACGUGCAGAGCAUGGAGUGUGUAAUGAUUUUCUUUUAAAUAGGAUCAAUGAAAGUUAUUGACUAGUUGAGUGCGUAGAUGUCUGUGGUUGGGGAAAAAGAGAUAGAGUUCUCAUAAUUAUCCUAGUGCGGUAUAGUAUAUGCGAUAUGUUGUGGAGGAUUGGGAUUUGUCUGUGUAAGGUUUCAGUUCAGUUCAGAAUGGAAACUCAUUAAAUUCUUAAGCAACACGGACAACAGCAGGUGAUUUAAGAAUCGACCUUCAGAUGAUUAAGGAAAAGGUAUUACUAUUCUAGUGAUUUGAAGGGGGUAUAUGUUCAGUAAAAGGGGAAGGUGAUGUAAACUGAUAAUACUUCGGUGGGAUUGCGGCAUUUUCUUGAUUGGAUCGACUGUUGAUGUUUCAGUUUGUUGAUGGCACAUAAACAUUAGAAUAUUUUUCUUGGAAUGAAUGAGUACUUGAUGUGUGAUAGGUAUUAAUAUUGAGGAAUGUGGGAUCACUAAUAGUGAUUUGUGUGUUAUAUGGAGUUGGAGACUGGGUGUUCUCCGAUUCAGUCUAUGUCGUGGUUGUGGAUGGAUUGUGUUGGUACCGUUCGCGGCUAUUGGGAUUUGGAGGCCCAAGUGGAUCAUUCUUUGCUUGGUAUAUUAGAUUUUGGACAUGGUAUUCGGGUGUGGACUGGUUGCCUCAGUGUUGGGUUAUUCUAGACUAUUGUGCUAUGGGUUAUGUUUGGAAAAUGCCACAGGUUGUGCGGCGGAGUGCAUUGGAUUAUGUUCUAGCAUAGUGGUUGUAUUCCAAAGACCAGCGGACAGUUGGGAAGGAUUGCUUUUCUUUUUUGGCCUUCAUGGCGGAUGUCAGUGCAGAUGCUUCUACCAUUUAUUCAGUUCCGAUAUUAAAAGACUUUUUUCGGAUGCGUUCCUUGUGGUCGGGCAUGUCGCCGGGCGAGAUUGUGGAUUUCAGUAUUUAUUUGGUGCCGAGCACCAUAUCGUACGGCUCCGGCAGGAGUUAUAGUAGUGGAAGGAGCAGCUUCAGGCUUCUUGGUGUUGAGUUCGUUGACAUGCCAAUAUGGCUACGUAUUUAGAUUGAGUUAGAUUGGAUAGUACCGAGUUGUAUUGUUGAGGGUUAGGCUGAUCCGAUCGUACUAAGCUUGUUAGUGAUCUAAGGAGAUCUAUGAGUGGUUUUUCUGUGCUGUUAGAUCUUACGAUUUGUUAGAUAUAGGAACAGGUGGUGCGGUUCUAUUUAGGAUUCAGCAAGGAAGUCGAGCGGGAAGAGUAAUUGAGUGUUGCUCGAUAAAUGGAGUAUUGUCUAUGACCUAUCGGGUUGCGUGUUGUAUGUUAUUUGCUUCACUGUGGGUGUAAUGAAUUACUUUGGCUUCAGACAUCAAUUGUGGUGGCUGGAAAUUUUGAGCAUAGUGACUUGAAGUGCUUCAUAUGUAAUAGUGUUUGGAUAAGAUCGCGCGUUGUGGCGAGGCCACGUGAAGAUAUGAACUUUCGAGGAGGAUUCAGGUAGUCUAUUUCUAUAAUAUGAGAUGAGGUCUCAGCUUUGUGUUUAAAUGGUAUCGAUGAGGUUGAGGUACAACUCUUUCGUUUGAGCCAUUUCUCAUGAUUUGAGUAUGUUGAGACCGUUUCUUAUUGGUGCGUGUAUUAUGCAAGUUAUGGCUUAGGCCUGUGUCGAGAUGUCAUAUCACCAGAGUGGUAUGUUGGAUUCGAGGAGAUCGUUGGUGUCAUUAAUGAAUACGAACGGAUUUGGUUUCAGCUUGUUGGAAGGUUAACAUCGAGGUUUGGCUCGAAAAUUUGUUGUGAUAGUAGUCAAAAGGGAAGCGACUUCAUGAAUGGUUGAUCUGAGAAAUUGUUACAGUUUAUUGCGUGUUUCAUUUAUCGUUGGCAGUAUAUGAAAGUGUUGGAAUAAUACCUUGGUUGAUAAGAAGUUUUUCCACCAAUAUUCGGGUGUUAUGGGCAAAUAUUGUGAAUAGAAGUUAUCGUGCGAUUUCAGACGAUAAGAGGUUUCCACUGAUAUUCGGGUGUUGUGGGAAACAGUUAUGGAUAGAAGUUAUCGUUUCGAGUGUUUGGGUUAUGUAGUGUAUCAUAUGAUUUCACCUGAGGUUGCAAUUAUGGGUUAUUACAGCUGGUUUGAGAUUAUGUGAGGUUCUGAUCUUGUGUAUGAUUUCAGAAAGUGCAAUGCAGUCCUACGGUUUAUGGGUUAGAUGGACUGUGAAAUUUCAGCUAUAUUGUGUUAGCGGACCUAUGUGAGAUAGGGUGAGGGAUCACCCCGAGUAUGCGCUUGGUAAGGUCUUUCAGCUAUUGGGUUGCUUCUGGUACAACUCUGGGUACGCUCGAGGACGAGCAUUUGUUUAAGUUGGGGAGGAUGUAACGACCUGACCCAUAGUCUCAUGAACUACCACUAUGUUUUUCUCAUCUUAUGCUUUUUCAUGUUUCCUUAUCAGUGCUUGGUGUGUUAGAAUUGAUUUAGAUUGGUUUUGGUAGAAAAUGAGAUAUUUAGUUUCUUUAAGAAAGGCUUGUUUGGAAAAGUCAACCGGAAGUUGACUUAUGAGUUAGAAGGUUCGGAUGUGAUUUUCGGUAAUUCGGUUAAAUUCAGGAAGGGAUUUUUGACUUAGGAGUGCAAUCGGAAUUGAUUUUGGAGGCCUGGUGUAGAAUUAGGCUUGAAUUGGCGAAGUUAGUAUUUUGGCUAAUUCCGCUUGAUGGGUGAGAAUUUGAUCUGGGGGUCGGUGUCACACCUCCUUUUUACCUGCGCCCAUUGGGGCGUAUGGGGUGUUUUUCUAAUUAAAGGACAAUCGAAAUGGGAUUAUAUAUUUAGAUUCAGAGUCGCCACUUGGGAGUUUUAUGGUGUCCCAAGUAACCGGUUGAAUCCCAAAUCGAGGAAAAAAUUAACUCUGUAUUACAGUUCGCGAACCAGAAAUCUGGAUAAGGAAUUCUGUUUAUCCGGAAGAAGGCGUUAGGAAUUCUCGAGUUCCGUGGUUCUAGCACGGUCGCUCAAUUGUCAUAUUCGGCUUAAGUUAUCUGAUUUUAACAAUUAUGAACCUAUGUGCAAAUUUUAACCUUCAUCCGCUUUAAUUAAUAUUAUUUUAAAGAGAAUUGCAACGUCCGUAAAACACGUUUCAAACCACGUCAUAUCAAUGCACCCGUGGAUUUUGACAUAUUUUAACAUCAUUGAGAUUUGAAUUUGGGUCACAUAAAUGUGCACCCGAGUUUAGGGAGGUAAUGUUAUUAAAAUAUGCGCCUAAAGAGACUAACACGUUAUUAUUUUGGAAGAGGGCGUGAUAUUCGCUAAACGGCCUGUCCCGAAAUCUAAACAAUUAAUAUAUACAUUUAACGAGGGCCCUGCAAUUUGUGCAUUUGAUUUGGCGAGGCGAGGCUCGUUUUAUUGUUUAAAGGGCGAUCCUAAAGUAAACUAUUAUUGUCUAGUUAAUUUGUCUCUAAGAUAAAGAAAACAAAAAUCCUAACUUGUUAAUUAUUGAAUUAGAGUGAACACAGAGAGAGAAUUGCACUCGGCCCGUAUCAAAAGAGUUGUUCUCCACAGGCCAUGGCCCAGGUCCAAACGAACAUUGUAUCUUGGAGACAUGUGCCGCCUGUUUAAUGUAUUCAGGCCCAACGGCCUGUGAACGGGGUAGAGUUUGAAUGCGGCAUAGAUUAAAUUCUACCAAAAUGCCUUUCCAAAUUACCUCAAGCUGAUUGUUUUGGUUCUAGUUUUUAUAUCCAUGCUUAAUUAUGAUUAAGUAUCUUACUAUUUUAAUCCAGAGAAUAUUAAUCAAGCUAAAGCAUUACUAGCUAAACGAAAAUAUCACCUUUUUUGAAGCGAUAACUUAACAGAUGUGAAGAUUUGUUACCUUAUUCUACCCCAACACCAAUGCUCACUCAAAGGUUUGCUAAACUUAAUCAAAACUUUGAAAGUCUAUUAACAUUAACAUUCAGAGGAAUGUUAACAAGUCAUGUUCGAACCAACUCAUGCCUACUGGUAAAAUGCAGGAGCACAUUGAUAAACUGAUGAUUAAUCAACUCAAAUCCUAAUACAACUUUAGCUACUAACUACGGGUUGAGUUACUUCUACUAAAAUACAAUAACUCUUACAAAUUUUGAAGUAGAUCGAAACAAACCAACAGUCUACAAAUAAAGCACAAUAAUCCAACAUAGUCCAUAGUUUAUAAAGAAAUAGUCCAUGGUUAUUAAUCAUACAAGUCAACACUUGGCUACUUUAAACAACUACAUUUUUUUAUCUAAUUACUACAAGUAUAUAACUAUCCAACAGGUAUAUUCCAGGAUCCACAAUCGAGUAGUUUUAUUCCAGUUUUUUCAAGCUCGGAACUACAGUAGAGAUUCAAAAUGUGUACUUGAAAGUUGAAUCACAACAAGAAGAAAGAAGAAGAUCAGCAGCAGCAGAUAACACAGUAACAACAGCAGUACACCAGAAAAUUCCAACAGCAAACAACCAAUCAAGUUCAACACCCAGAACAGUUUGAAAACCAAAUGAAGCCCAUAGAAGAGCCCCAACAGAAUACCAAAACUCGAAAAUGAACCCAAGGGACUGAAGUUAAACAAUCAACGGAUCCCCAACUGUCUCAAACCAAACAGACUCGGAACAAAAAGAACUGAGGAACUGAAUUCAAACCCAAAACUUGAAAAACAAUACUCUCAAAAAGGCUCCUGAAAGCUGAUUCCCAAAACCUCUCUCUAAAACUGACCCUUGAAGUUUGUUCAGCUCUCUUGUAUUAUUUUUGGACUCUCAAUAUGUUCUCCUCAAUUUCAAUACUCUUUUCCUAGUUCUAUGGGUUUUUUGACUCUCAACUCUUACUGCUAGUUCAAGUUCUCUUAAUGUCUCUACUGACCUCUAUAUUUAAACCCAACCUUUUAAAACCCUUUUCAGCCCUUCUUUUUCUUUUACAGUUGUAAAAGAAAACCUUUUGUAUUACUACACCCAUGCUUUUUUUACUUUCCAGCUUUCUAUAUUCUUCUACUAUGUGAACCCUUUUAGCUUUUUAUUUAUUACUUACUAUUUUUUAUUGCCAAUUCGUUAAAAAGCAACAGAUUAUUACAGUCAUAACCCAUUAGAGCCCUACUUAUUACUUAGUGGCCCCCUACUAAUAUGUCUUGUUCCCCAAUUUCAUUAAACAAAUACAAUAGUUUAAUUGUCCAUUAGUAACUUACUGACAGCCAUCAAAUUAAAGCAUUUUUAAAGUUUUGGCAGCCUAAAUUACCCCUGCGAUUCACUGAAACUACUGACCUAUCCAAAUCUUCCUUCACUCUGUACCAAAACCACAACUACAACCAAUUCCAUUUAUCAAUCAAUUAGUAAUGCAAAGUACAAGAUCAAAUCAAAUAACAUUAACAAUGAUGGCUAACAGCUCAGUGCAACACAUAUUGAGCUAACUAUAUUGGGGAACCAAUCAUAUUUAGCUUAAAACAAGUGAAGUGAAACCAAUUAGAUGAACAUACACUUAGUUGGAUUGGAAAACAACAGAAGAAACAUCCAGAAGAGCUUUAAGGGGAUCGACAGAUUCAUGAUAAAAAAUGAUUAAUCAAUUCAGUUCAAAAAUGAACUGAAUAUACCAACAGGCUUAGUUCUAUGUUCAACUGUGACAACAUGCUUAUUUCAAUACAAGCAUUAGAACAGAAAAGAAACAGGUGGGGAAACCUACUAGAAUGAACCAAAAUUAAACUAUUAUCACGUUACUCUAACAUUCAAACAUAAUAGACUAAUCGACGACACUUAUUCAAUCGAUUAAAAAUGUUAUAACCUAUAACUAUCAAUCAGAAAAUUUGGACGAAGAAAAAGGUCCAGAAGAGAAUAAGAAGAUAAUUGACAAAAAUAACGGAAAAGCAAUCGAACAAAAUACAAUGAGACCUAAAAAGAUAAACUACAAAAAUAGAAUAGACAAAGAGAGGAAAUACCUCAAAUUGAGAAACCAAACGGACUUUGUCCGCAUCAAAGCUUCUUCUCAAACUCUUUUGAGCACAAAAUGGACCUUAAUCUAGUGUUCUCGAUUGAGAACACUCGACUAAGGUCAGUUGUUAACCUCAAAUUUCCCCUAAUCUCGGAUAGGUUUAGUUUUUUGUUCUGUUAGAGUUCUUUGGUUUGAUUUGGGAUUCGAAUAGUUCCAACGAGAUUCAAACAAAACUAAUGGAGAUUAGGAGGUUGAUUGGUUUGAGUUUGGUAGUGAAUGGGUGAACUAGGGUUAGGGUCUGAUCUUUCAAACUAUUAUUGGAGAAUAUUAGUGAUGAUUCGAGGAAAAAAGGGUAGGGAUUUGGAACGAGGAAGGAAUGGAGGUUCAGUGGUGUGAUUUUGGUGGACGGCGGCAUUGUUGCCGCCGGGUUUCAGGCGAAGGAUUUUGAUGGCGGCUAGGGUUUCAAGGGGUUGUCUCUGAGAAUUCUGAGAGAGACGAUAAGGCAGGGGGGGUUGUGUUUGGGGGGACUGGGUAGGAGUUUAGGAAUAUAUACUAGGUGGGAUUUUUAAUCCUGGCCAUUAGAUCUACUAAGAUCAACGGCUAGGAUAUGGGAGGUG
rnacentral:lncRNA from 1 species